rnacentral:rRNA from 1 species
ACUAGCAUAUCAAUAAGCGGAGGAAAAGAAACCAACAGGGAUUGCCCUAGUAACGGCGAGUGAAGCGGCAAAAGCUCAGAUUUGAAAUCUGGUGUCAUUUUGGCAUUCGAGUUGUAAUCUGUAGAGGAGUAUUCGAGUUUGGCAUUGGCUAAAGUUCCUUGGAAGAGGGCGUCAGAGAGGGUGAGAACCCCGUGUUAAGCCUUUGCUUUUUCUCAUGUGAAUCUCCUUCAACGAGUCGAGUUGUUUGGGAAUGCAGCUCUAAAUGGGUGGUAAAUUCCAUCUAAAGCUAAAUACUGGCAAGAGACCGAUAGCGCACAAGUAGAGUGAUCGAAAGAUGAAAAGAACUCUGAACAGAGAGUUAAAUAGUACGUGAAAUUGUUGAAAGGGAAGCACUUGCUACCAGACGCACUUGCAGCUAAUCAGCCUUCAUUCUUGGAGGUGCACUUGGUUGUAUGUGGGUCAGCAUCAGUUACGGCGGAGGGAUAAAGACGCAAGGAAUGUGGCUCCUCUCGGGGAGUGUUAUAGCCUUGUGUGUAAUACCUUCAGUUGUGACUGAGGAUCGCGCCUUUUGGUGAGGAUGCUGGCAUAAUGGUCGUAAGUGACCCGUCUUGAAACACGGACCAAGGAGUCUAACAUCUAUGCGAGUGUUUGGGUGUCAAAACCCUUACGCGAAAUGAAAGUGAAUGAAGGUGGGAACCGUAAGGUGCACCAUCGACCGAUCCUGAUGUUCUCGGAUGGAUUUGAGUAGGAGCAUAGCUGUUGGGACCCGAAAGAUGGUGAACUAUGCCUGAAUAGGGUGAAGUCAGAGGAAACUCUGAUGGAGGCUCGCAGCGGUUCUGACGUGCAAAUCGAUCGUCAAAUUUGGGUAUAGGGGCGAAAGACUAAUCGA